UUGUUUCGGCAGCACAUAUACUAAAAAAAAAAAAAAAAUUGGAACGAUACAGAGAUUAGCAUGGCCCCUGCAAAAGGAUGACAUGCAAAUUCAUGAAGCAUUCCAUUAAAAA